GUAGGGAAUAUUGGGCAAUGGAUGCAAGUCUGACCCAGUCAUCCCGCGUGCCGGAAGAAGGCCCUCAGGGUUGUAAACGGCUUUUGACGGUGAAGAAUCGACAGGAUGCGUCCUGUUUUGACAGUAGCCGUUGAAUAAGCACCGGCUAACUCCGUGCCAGCAGCCGCGGUAAUACGGAGGGUGCGAGCGUUGUCCGGAUUUAUUGGGUUUAAAGGGUGCGUAGGCUGGAAGGUCAGUCAGCGGUGAAAAGCUGUCGCUUAACGAUAGUCUUGCCGCAGAUACUUCCUUUCUUGGAUGAGGAGGAGGCCACUGGAACGGAUGGUGUAGCGGUGAAAUGCAUAGAUAUCAUCCAGAACACCGAUUGCGAAGGCAGGUGGCUGUACCUUAAUCGACGCUGAUGCACGAAAGCAUGGGGAGCAAACAGGAUUAGAUACCCUAGUAGUCC
rnacentral:rRNA from 1 species